GUGUACGGAGCGGCGAACGGGUGAGUAACACGUGAGCAACCUGCCCUUGGCUUUGGGAUAACCCUCGGAAACGGGGGGCUAAUACCGGAUAUCUACGUGGCACCGCAUGGUGGUGUGUGGAAAGUUUUUCGGCUGGGGAUGGGCUCGCGGCCUAUCAGCUUGUUGGUGGGGUGAUGGCCUACCAAGGCGACGACGGGUAGCCGGCCUGAAAGGGCGACCGGCCACACUGGG
rnacentral:rRNA from 1 species